UAUGGUGACAAUAGCGAGGUGGUCAUUCCUGGUUACAUACCGAACCCAGUAGACAAGCACCUUAGCGCCGAAAAUAGUGUAAGCAAAGAUAGGACGUUGCCAUGU
rnacentral:rRNA from 1 species